GAUUGCGCAAGGAUUAUCUCCCUUUGACCCUGAUAAAGCUGCAAUCGCGGCUG
rnacentral:ncRNA from 1 species